rnacentral:rRNA from 1 species
GCUAAAACUCAAAGGAAUUGACGGGGGCCCGCACAAGCGGCGGAGCAUGCGGAUUAAUUCGAUGCAACGCGAAGAACCUUACCAAGGCUUGACAUGUGCCAGACCGCUCCAGAGAUGGGGUUUCCCUUCGGGGCUGGUUCACAGGUGGUGCAUGGUUGUCGUCAGCUCGUGUCGUGAGAUGUUGGGUUAAGUCCCGCAACGAGCGCAACCCUCGUUCCAUGUUGCCAGCACGUAGUGGUGGGGACUCAUGGGAGACUGCCGGGGUCAACUCGGAGGAAGGUGGGGAUGACGUCAAAUCAUCAUGCCCCUUAUGUCUUGGGCUUCACGCAUGCUACAAUGGCCGGUACAAUGGGUUGCGAUACUGUGAGGUGGAGCUAAUCCCUAAAAGCCGGUCUCAGUUCGGAUUGGGGUCUGCAACUCGACCCCAUGAAGUCGGAGUCGCUAGUAAUCGCAGAUCAGCAACGCUGCGGUGAAUACGUUCCCGGGCCUUGUACACACCGCCCGUCAAGUCACGAAAGUUGGUAACACCCGAAGCCGAUGGCCUUAACCCA